rnacentral:rRNA from 1 species
GAUGAACGCUGGCGGCGUGCCUAACACAUGCAAGUCGAACGGAAAGACCAUGCUCUUGUGGGGUGCACGUGGGGCGAGGGGGUGAGAAACACGGGAGUAACCCCCCCUUGACUGUGGGAGAAAUUGAGGAAACUGGGGAUAAUACAGGAUAGGAACUCUUGCGCCAUGGGGGGGGUAGGAAAGUUUCGGCGGUUGGGGAUGGACUCGCGGCUUAUCAGCUGGUUGGGGGGGUAGUGGCUUACCAAGGCUUUGACGGGUAGCCGGCAUGAGAGGGUGACCAGCCACAUUGGGACUGAGAUACGGCCCAGACUCCUACGGGAGGCAGCAGUGGGGAAUCUUGCACAAUGGGCGGAAGCCUGAUGCAGCGACGCCGCGUGCGGGAUGACGGCCUUCGGGUUGUAAACCGCUUUCGCCGGUGACGAGGCGUGAGUGACGGUACUUGCUAAAGAAGCCCCGGCUAACUACGUG